rnacentral:rRNA from 1 species
UUGCACCUGGUGGCGAGUGGCGAACGGGUGAGUAAUACAUCGGAACGUACCUUAUCGUGGGGGAUAACGCAGCGAAAGCUGUGCUAAUACCGCAUACGCCCUGAGGGGGAAAGCGGGGGAUCGAAAGACCUCGCGCGAUUAGAGCGGCCGAUGCCUGAUUAGCUUGUUGGUGGGGUAAAAGCCCACCAAGGCGACGAUCAGUAGCUGGUCUGAGAGGACGAUCAGCCACACUGGGACUGAGACACGGCCCAGACUCCUACGGGAGGCAGCAGUGGGGAAUUUUGGACAAUGGGGGAAACCCUGAUCCAGCAAUGCCGCGCGAGUGAAGAAGGCCUUCGGGUUGUAAAGCUCUUUUGUCAGGGAAGAAACACCGGCUCUAACACAGUCCGGGAAUGACGGUACCUGAAGAAUAAGCACCGGCUAACUACGUGCCAGCAGCCGCGGUAAUACGUAGGGUGCGAGCGUUAAUCGGAAUUACUGGGCGUAAAGCGUGCGCAGGCGGUUAUACAAGACAGGCGUGAAAUCCCCGGGCCUAACCUGGGAAUGGCGCCUGUGACUGUAUAGCUAGAGUGUGUUAGAGGGGGGUAGAAUUCCACGUGUAGCAGUGAAAUGCGUAGAUAUGUGGAGGAAUACCAAUGGCGAAGGCAGCCCCCUGGGAUAACACUGACGCUCAUGCACGAAAGCGUGGGGAGCAAACAGG